rnacentral:lncRNA from 1 species
AAGAGUCACACUUUAAGAGGCAGAAAUGGGAUUGUGGAAAUCACAAGCAAGAGAGCCUAACAUCACAUCUUAGCAAAGUUCUAGAUCAAUCUCUUGGAUAGUGUGAGUUCUCCAUAAUAAUUAUGAACUAGAAGCCACUGUGGACUCUCUCACACAAAAUCAUGACAUUUCCUCUUACAGCUAUGUCAUUGAACAUGUGUUGCUGGUCUAUAGGUCUGGCAUAGACAUGGUUUAAGAAAGAAAUGAUAACUAUGAGUUCCUUUUCAACAAGUGACAAGAAAUGUUGGUGAAGAGAUAACCUGCUUUAGUCAAUGUGUAGCUAAUUAAUUAUUAGACCUAAAGAAUAUUUUCUUAGCAAAUUGAUGUCAGCCUGGAGAGAGGUCUUUGCUGCUUUGCUUUGAACUUAACUUUGACAGAAACCUUUAAAAAAAAAAACAAAAAAAAAAACAAAUGAGCUAAGACAGAGGAGCAAGCCAUGUCAUUAAUAUUCAGUCACAGCACGCAGGAAGAUAAUAUUAACUAUUAUAUCAAUAUUGUCAUUGGGAUCCAAAUAUAUCUUAACAGACUAGAUGACAAGAGAAAGCUAGAGAGUUGAAAAGUUCCAGGGAUAAAUAUACAUUCUUUUGGGAUUCCCAAACACAAGUGUGCAAGUGAUAGGGAAACUGACUUUGUAGACAUCAUUGGUUUUGGUGAUAAUGGAAAUAGCAACAAGGAGCAGUCCCUAGCAAGUACAUUAGAUGGUGUGGUCUGUAUUGGCAGGGAAGACUUGUAUAUGAGCAUAGGUACUGAAAAGGUCAGCUUAAGAACUUGGGGAAGGUCAUAAAACACUUGCCCUCCGGAAGGGAGAGGCUAAUUAGCAUUUCUCAGACCACAGGGUGGGAACUGACCUGCGGGUGGGGACACAUUCCGCAGGACUGACUGUUGCCCACCUUCAGACAAGGGAAGUCCUUGUCACCUCAUUCUCUAAAGACCAAUCGAUUUAAAAGGUGCGCUGUUCCACCAAUCAUAUUGUGCCUAGUUGCUGAUGCUCUAUUCUGCCCCUGGAAACCAUAUAAAACCUCACAGACCCGGUUCUGGGAGUGGGGGGGUCGCUGCCUCUCCUUUGGGUCUGGGAUGACCCUAAUGCACUGGAACAAUAAAUUCCUCUUUCUUUUUGCCAACUCCACAUGGUUCACUCAGGGGGUCCCCAGUAAGCUAAGGCUCCCUGGAGCCUUACAGUACAUUGGAAUGGGAAAAAUGAGAGAGACUAGGAAAAUUUUCUUCACUCUAAUUAAAGGUUUAAAAAGAUUCUUUGAUGACUGCAAGGUCACUGCUCUACCUGAGAGACUGGUUUAUUGGUUCGGUAUAUGUUAAGGCUUUUUAUUUUUUAUUAAGAUAUUAUUUUUGUUAAUUAUUUGGAACUUUCACAUAGUACACUCCAGUCAUAUUCACUUCCCAGUCUUCUCAGGCCCACCCCCAACCCUUGUGACCACCACAAAAGAAAAGGAGGAGAAGGAAGAGGAGAAGGAGGAAAGGAC